rnacentral:lncRNA from 1 species
CAACAACCUCCAAAUUAUAAUAUAUUAAAUUGACCAAUUUCAUUAUCUAUUAAGUUCAUUAAAGAUAAUCAAAUUACACCACAAAAAAUUUUCAUUAUAAUGGCCGUUUUUUGACAACGCUAAGAGAUAGAAGUGUUCCCACUAUAUAGCAAAUACUGGCGAUUUGAAAAGUGUUGUCAUAUGAACCGUCAAGAUCUCUUCAGCGCUCUCUAUUGUAACAACUCAGUUUACUAAAGGAUAAAUUACACUAUUAGGUCAGGAUACCUAUUGCGGUUCGAACCGUAGUUCGUGAUUUCUACGCAACUUUAUAUGUCGUCGAACGAAUAAAAAAUGAGUGUAUUUUGUUUAAUUUUGUUCGGAAAACUAAGUGUGUUUUGAGUUUGGUUGUAUGAAAUAAAGGUAGAAAAUAAUAGUUUGUGGAAUUUGGUUG